rnacentral:rRNA from 1 species
UUCAUGCUUUUGUAGUAUGAAAAUUGAGGAUUUUAAUAACUUAGCAAAUCGCGAAGUGAAAACAGGCGAUAAAUCAUUCAAGUUUCUGACCUAUCAGCUUUCGACGGUAUGGUAUUGGCUUACCGUGGCAGUGACGGUUAACGGGGGAUUAGGGUUCGAUUCCGGAGAGGGAGCCUGAGAAACGGCUACCACAUCUAAGGAAGGCAGCAGGCGCGCAAAUUACCCAAUUCUAACAGUUUGAGAGAGGUAGUAACAAGAAAUAACAAUACAAGGCAGUUAAAAUGCUUUGUAAUUGGAAUGAUAGAAAUUUAAACCCUUUUUAAAGUAUCAAUUGGAGGGCAAGUCUGGUGCCAGCAGCCGCGGUAAUUCCAGCUCCAAUAGCGUAUAUUAAAAUUGUUGCAGUUAAAAAGCUCGUAGUUGAAGUUCUGCUGAAAGUAACCGGUCUGCUUUUAAUAAAAGUGGUAUCUUGGUAUGUAUUUAGCAAUGAUGUCCUUUGAAGUGUUUUUUACUUUAUUGUAAUAAAGCAUAUUCAGGACUUUUACUUUGAGAAAAUUAGAGUGUUUCUAGCAGGCUAACGCUUUGAAUACUGCACUGG